UACGUAGGGUGCAAGCGUUGUCCGGAAUUAUUGGGCGUAAAGAGCUCGUAGGCGGUCUGUCACGUCGGACGUGAAAAUCCAGGGCUCAACCCUGGACCUGCGUUCGAUACGGGCAGACUAGAGUUCGGUAGGGGAGACUGGAAUUCCUGGUGUAGCGGUGAAAUGCGCAGAUAUCAGGAGGAACACCGGUGGCGAAGGCGACUACCUGGCCUGUUCUUGACGCUGAGGCGCGAAAGCUAGGGUAGCAAACGGG
rnacentral:rRNA from 1 species